AAUGAACGCUGGCGGCGUGCCUAACACAUGCAAGUCGUACGAGAAAGGGGCUUCGGCCCUGAGUAGAGUGGCGCACGGGUGAGUAACGCGUGGGUAAUCUACCCUUGGAUUUGGGAUAACUCUGCGAAAGUGGAGCUAAUACCGGAUAGUCUGGCUUUAAUUGAUAAGUCGGUAAAGGAUGCCUCUGCAUAUGCAUUCGUCCAAGGAUGAGCCCGCGUCUCAUUAGCUAGUUGGUAGGGUAAUGGCCUACCAAGGCAACGAUGAGUAGCUGGUAUGAGAGGAUGAUCAGCCACACUGGAACUGAAACACGGUCCAGACUCCUACGGGAGGCAGCAGUGGGGAAUAUUGCGCAAUGGGCGAAAGCCUGACGCAGCAACGCCGUGUGAGGGAUGAAGGCUUUCGGGUCGUAAACCUCUGUCGGAAGGGAAGAACGGGCAAUGGUCUAAUAGGCCAUUGUUUUGACGGUACCUUUAGAGGAAGCACCGGCUAACUCCGUGCCAGCCGCCGCAGUAAAAC
rnacentral:rRNA from 1 species